rnacentral:rRNA from 1 species
CAGUCGCCACGGUAAUACGUAGGGGGCGAGCGUUGUCCGAAGUUACUGGGCGUAAAGCGCGCGUAGGCGGCUUCUUAAGUCUGAGGUGAAAGGUUCAACGCUUAACGUGAACAGUGCCUUGGAUACUGGGGAGCUUGAGUAUGGGAGAGGGCAGUGGAAUGGCUGGUGUAGCGGUGAAAUGCGUAGAUAUCAGUCGGAACACCCAUGGCGAAGGCAGCUGCCUGGCCUAAUACUGACGCUGAGGUGCGAAAGCGUGGGGAGCGAACGGGAUUAGAGACCCCAGUAGUCCCUGUCUCUUAUA